UACGAAGGUGGCAAGCGUUACUCGGAUUUACUAGGCGUAAAGGGCAGGUAGGUGGUUUGAUAAGUCUGCUGUGUAAGCUCCCGGCUUAACUGGGAGAGGUCAGCGGAAACUGUCAGGCUUGAGUAUGGGAGAGGGUACUGGAAUUCCUGGUGUAGCGGUGAAAUGCGCAGAUAUCAGGAAGAACACCCGUGGCUAAGGCGGCUCUCUAGUACGGUACUGACGCUGAGACGCGAAAGCGUGGGGAGCGAACAGG
rnacentral:rRNA from 1 species